UGCGAUUGAUGGGAAUCGGACCCAUAACUCCUGGUUGGCAACCAGAUAUUUUACCAUUCAAACUACAAUCGC
rnacentral:tRNA from 1 species